rnacentral:rRNA from 1 species
UACAGGGGGGGCAAGCGUUGUUCGGAAUUACUGGGCGUAAAGGGCUCGUAGGUGGCCAACUAAGUCGGACGUGAAAUCCCUCAGCUUAACUGGGGAACUGCAUCCGAUACUGGGUGGCUUGAGUUUGGGAGAGGGAUGCGGAAUUCCAGGUGUAGCGGUGAAAUGCGUAGAUAUCUGGAGGAAUACCGGUGGCGAAGGCGGCAUCCUGGACCGACAUUGACGCUGAGGAGCGAAAGCCAGGGGAGCAAACGGG